AUUUAAUGUUGUAUUUUCUGUUUAAGUGCCAUGUGGAGACAACUAUCCCAAGUCGUACUGUGAGGACCAGAAACAGCAGGGCUUCUGUUCCCCUCGCAGUGCCUAUGCUACCUUCAUGUCCGACAACUGUUACGCUACUUGUAGGGGAGGAUGCUGAAGAGGUAACUAAGAAGAUUCCACAACAUUACAAUGUCAUAUACAGAAAAUACACCACUCCAAUGUUCAU